rnacentral:rRNA from 1 species
AUUGAACGCUGGCGGCAUGCCUUACACAUGCAAGUCGAACGGUAACAGGUCUUCGGAUGCUGACGAGUGGCGAACGGGUGAGUAAUACAUCGGAACGUGCGCGAGAGAGGGGGAUCACGAGGCGAAAGCUUUGCUAAUAGCGCGUACGAUCUCCGGAUGAAAGCAGGGGACCGCAAGGCGUUGGGCUCACGGAGCGACAGAUGGCAGAUUAGGUAGUGGGAGGGAUAAAAGCUUACCAAGCCGACGAUCUGUAGCUGGUCUGAGAGGACGACCAGCCACACUGGGACUGAGACACGGCCCAGACUCCUACGGGAGGCAGCAGUGGGGAAUUUUGGAGAAUGGGCGCAAGCCUGAUCAAGCCAUGCCGCGUGCAGGAUGAAGGCCUUCGGGUUGUAAACUGCUUUUGUACGGAACGAAAAGACUCUGGUUAAUACCUGGGGUCCAUGACGGUACCGUAAGAAUAAGCACCGGCUAACUACGUGCCAGCCGCCGCUGUAACAC